rnacentral:rRNA from 1 species
UUUGACCUCAAAUCAGGUAGGGCUACCCGC